GGGGUUGUGGCUCAGAGGUAGAGCACUCUCCUAGCAUGUGUGAGGCACUGCGUUCAAUCCUCAGCACCACA
rnacentral:tRNA from 1 species